UGAGGUAUUUUUAUGGAAAAGGAAGCGUGACUCAGGCAGAAUCAAGAUCUCAAAAGACACAGCAAGGGGCCAUGGUGAAUUAUUCCCAGGAGCAGACUGGAAGUGCCAAUUGUGUUAAAUUAUGUGUGUCUCACCAUUUUAUAUUGUGUGUGGAGAAGUGGGAGGAGAGAACUUGUCUCUUCCGUUCACAGGUCUUCAGAUUGAGAGAAGCUACACACUUCAGGAAGGACAUUUAAGGACCCUCCUCCGUACCGUGACUGAUUUAAAUGAGGGCAUCUGGAUUUGAAGGGGGUGUUGCAGUUGGAUGAGACUUUGAGAGUCACAGGGGAGGUGGGUGUAUUUUCCAUGUGUGAGGGAAAAUGAAUUGCUGAGCCCAUAUGGUGAACUGCAGUGUUUUUUCUCCGACAUGGCUGUCGUCCUUCCCUCUCUCCCUUUGUGAGCAUGCUGCACCACCAUCAAGAGACAGAGUCUAUUCCUCCCUUCUUGUGAAUCUUGGCUUGUCUUACUGGCUUUCUUGAUGAAUAGAAUGUAGAAGUGAUGUUCUGGAAUUUUCAAGCCUAGUUCAUAAGUAAUCUCGCAGCUUCUGCCUUGGGCUCUUGGAGCCCUGAGUCACCUUGUAAGAUGUACAAGCGCUCUGCUAGGGAGACUGUGUGGAAAAACCCUGAGACAGUAUGUGGAGAGAUAAAGAACCAGCUGAGUCCUGCCUUCUAGCUAUCCCCACCGUUGUGCCACACCUGAGUGCAGCCGUCUUGGAUCAGCCCAGCCCAGCCACCUAGUGAAUACUUCUGAGUGAUCCCAGCUGAUGCCGUGUGGAGCAGAAAAAAAUAACUCAGGCAUGCCCUGCCUGAAUUUCUAACCUAAAAACUGUUGGCAUAACUGGAGUCAGAAGUGGGACCUGAAGCAAGAUCACCUUCAGUAGGCAUCUGCGAUUCUUGAGACUGGUGUUCAGUACUCACUUGAGCCCUCUGAACUCUGGUCUAAGGACUCCAGACCAGGAGUCACAGACUGGAUGAUAAGAGACUUUUUGGCAUUUCUGACAAGCCUUUUCUGGUACAAAGACAUUCAUCUCUAUGAUGAGGAAACUAUGGCACAGAGAAGUUGAGGAACUUCACUGAGAUCACACAGCCUGCCCUCUCCCAUAUGAUGCAGAAAAGCUGUCCCUGGCUCUGAGUCCUGCCGUGUGCCUUGUUCACUCCACUGCCUGUGAAUUUUCCAACCAAGAACAACACAAAGGCCUCAGCCUUUCAAGGAGCCCUUGGGGUGUUUGCGGUCAUCUGCGGAUGUAUACUGACCAUUUCUCACGCCUCUGGAAAGGUCCCGGGUUGCAGCCUGACCCUCUCCACCCAGAUCCAUCAACGCACGCCUCAUUUAUUCACCGUUCCCCACCGCCGUAGACCAGCAUUCUCCCAGGGACGGACCUGGGUUUCAUCUCUCUAUCCCCCAUACGCAGCUCCUGUUUGCUUGUUUGUUGUUUGAAUAAAUGCUCCCUGCUCGGAUUUAUGGGAGGAUCAAGUUGCUCCUGGGAAGGAGAUCAAUGUAUAAUCUGUAUUUCCCAUUUCUGGUGUGAGAACCUAGAAGCUCCCUGACUAUUGUCCUCUUAACAAAUGGGGCUCACAGGGUGCCCCCUGUCUGGCAAAGCUUGCACUUCAAACCAAGGCUUCCUUUAUUUAGGCGUAAAAUCUCAAAUUCGUGUGUUCUGUCCCCUGCAAACUCCUAGGUGGGGUAAAAGGUCAUGACUCUGAGGUUCCCGGCUGAGCUCGAAGCUGUUUUCUGUGUUUCCCUCUCAUCUGUUUCAGAGCAGGAUGAGGUUCCUGCCUGCAGUGGGAAACUGACUCAGAACACCCAGGAUGCCCCGCAGCUCGGCCUUCAGCUGCUGUUAGAGCACAGCAGGUUGACGCAGUGCGAUUCUGGAGGAUGGAGUUUUUAUCGUGAUCCCAUAUGGACUGAGGAAGUGUGUGCAGUUGGGGACAGCCAGGCCUAAGAGUGGAGAAGUCCUGCCUUCCAGGCCCACACUGGACAGAGCAUUUGACCUGCUGGGCCUCAGUUUCCCCAUGUGUAUUUUGGGGAUAAUGAUUCCUAGGCUGAGUCCUGCAGGACCUGUCUGGAGGAUCACAUUAGACAGUGAAUACACUUUUUAAAAAACUCUGGAAGAUACAGUGAAGCUGAGGUCUUAUGGCUGUUGCCUCACGGACUUGUGGCAUGUAUUUGUCUUCCUCCUAAUGAGGUUGUCAUGACGCUCUGCCCACCCCUGACUGAUCCCUGUUGAUUCGACGGGGGCCCAGGAAUUCCUCUGGGAGCUUAUGCUAGUUUGAAUGGAGUCUCUCCCAACCAGACUGUCAACUCGUGUGUGACAGACGAUUCUUCAAAGUAAAACAAUGGUGUCUAAGGGACUCCAAAACAGGACAAGGAAGACUGGAGCUCUCCAGAAACAGAUGGGCCCAGGUCCGUAAGCUGAGGAUUCAGCCCCCUCCAUCCUGGCCCAGCAAUGCCUGCCCAGCCAGAUGCUC